rnacentral:lncRNA from 1 species
AAAAUCACUUGUAGUCUCUAAAGUGAUUAAGGAGACAUAAUGAAGAUCCAGAUCCCAGAUCCAAGUUGAUGAAGUCAGAAGGCUGGUAUAUUUUGAAGGCACCAAAGACUCCCCUUUAGAGCAUCACCUGUACGUAGUCAGUUACGUAAAUCCUGGAGAGGUGACAAGGCUGACUGACCGUGGCUACUCACAUUCUUGCUGCAUCAGUCAGCACUGUGACUUCUUUAUAAGUAAGUAUAGUAACCAGAAGAAUCCACACUGUGUGUCCCUUUACAAGCUAUCAAGUCCUGAAGAUGACCCAACUUGCAAAACAAAGGAAUUUUGGGCCACCAUUUUGGAUUCAGCAGGUCCUCUUCCUGACUAUACUCCUCCAGAAAUUUUCUCUUUUGAAAGUACUACUGGAUUUACAUUGUAUGGGAUGCUCUACAAGCCUCAUGAUCUACAGCCUGGAAAGAAAUAUCCUACUGUGCUGUUCAUAUAUGGUGGUCCUCAGGUGCAGUUGGUGAAUAAUCGGUUUAAAGGAGUCAAGUAUUUCCGCUUGAAUACCCUAGCCUCUCUAGGUUAUGUGGUUGUAGUGAUAGACAACAGGGGAUCCUGUCACCGAGGGCUUAAAUUUGAAGGCGCCUUUAAAUAUAAAAUGGAAGCUUUAAAUGCUACCUUUUAGAGAUGCCCCAUGUCCUUUCUGCUGCUUUGGGAAAUGAUGAGAAUCCGAUGUUCCUUUUGCACAGUAAGGCAGUUACUGUGUUUGCCAGUGUUAUUGGACAUGCUGAGUAAGACAUGGGGAUUUUCUCCCACAGCCAGUUCUUUGACCUUAUGUUGUAUUCUCAUGUUGCUAUUGCUGGGGCCCCAGUCACUCUGUGGAUCUUCUAUGAUACAGGAUACACGGAACGUUAUAUGGGUCACCCUGACCAGAAUGAACAGGGCUAUUACUUAGGAUCUGUGGCCAUGCAAGCAGAAAAGUUCCCCUCUGAACCAAAUCGUUUACUGCUCUUACAUGGUUUCCUGGAUGAGAAUGUCCAUUUUGCACAUACCAGUAUAUUACUGAGUUUUUUAGUGAGGGCUGGAAAGCCAUAUGAUUUACAGAUCUAUCCUCAGGAGAGACACAGCAUAAGAGUUCCUGAAUCGGGAGAACAUUAUGAACUGCAUCUUUUGCACUACCUUCAAGAAAACCUUGGAUCACGUAUUGCUGCUCUAAAAGUGAUAUAAUUUUGACCUGUGUAGAACUCUCUGGUAUACACUGGCUAUUUAACCAAAUGAGGAGGUUUAAUCAACAGAAAACACAGAAUUGAUCAUCACAUUUUGAUACCUGCCAUGUAACAUCUACUCCUGAAAAUAAAUGUGGUGCCAUGCAGGGGUCUACGGUUUGUGGUAGUAAUCUAAUACCUUAACCCCACAUGCUCAAAAUCAAAUGAUACAUAUUCCUGAGAGACCCAGCAAUACCAUAAGAAUUACU